rnacentral:rRNA from 1 species
GACGAACGCUGGCGGCGUGCUUUAUACAUGCAAGUCGAACGAUGAAGUUCCUUCGGGAAUGGAUUAGUGGCGAACGGGUGAGGAACACGUGAGAAACCUGCCUUUCAUUCUGGGAUAACACUGGGAAACCGGUGCUAAUACCGGAUACUCCGUCUUGGCGGCAUCGCCGAGCCGGGAAAAAAUUUUGAUGAAAGAUGGUCUCGCGGCCUAUCAGCUAGUUGGUGAGGUAAAGGCUCGCCAAGGCGACGACGGGUAGCCGGCCUGAGAGGGCGACCGGCCAAACUGGGACUGAGACACGGCCCAGACUCCUACGGGAGGCAGCAGUAGGGAAUAUUGGGCAAUGGGCGCAAGCCUGACCCAGCGACGCCGCGUGAGGGAUGAAGGUCUUCGGAUUGUAAACCUCUUUCAGUAGGGAAGAAGCGAAAGUGACGGUACCUAAAGAAGAAGCACCGGCUAACUAUGUGCCAGCAGCCGCAGUAA